rnacentral:rRNA from 1 species
GGCUUAGAGUUUGAUCAUGGCUCAGGAUGAACGCUGGCGGCGUGCCUAACACAUGCGAGUCGAACGAAGCACUUAUCUUCGAUUCUUUCGGGAUGAAGAGAUAUUUGACUGAGUGGCGGACGGGUGAGUAACGCGUGGGUAACCUGCCUCAUACAGGGGGAUAACAGUUAGAAAUGACUGCUAAUACCGCAUAAGCGCACGGAAUCGCAUGAUUCAGUGUGAAAAGCCGAGACGGUAUGAGAUGGACCCGCGUCUGAUUUGGUAGUUGGUGAGGUAACGGCCCACCAAGCCGACGAUCAGUAGCCGACCUGAGAGGGUGACCGGCCACAUUGGGACUGAGACACGGCCCAAACUCCUACGGGAGGCAGCAGUGGGGAAUAUUGCACAAUGGGGGAAACCCUGAUGCAGCGACGCCGCGUGAAGGAAGAAGUAUUUCGGUAUGUAAACUUCUAUCAGCAGGGAAGAAAAUGACGGUACCUGACUAAGAAGCCCCGGCUAACUACGUGCCAGCAGCCGCGGUAAUACGUAGGGGGCAAGCGUUAUCCGGAUUUACUGCGUGUAAAGGGAGCGUAGGCGGUCUGACAAGUCACGAAGUGAAGCCCGGGGCUCAACCUCGGCGACUGCUUUUGAGGCUGUCGCACUAGAUUGCAGGAGACGUAAGUGGAACUUCCUAGAGUAGCGGUGCAAUGGCGUAGAUAUUAGGAACGAAACUGACUGUCAAGGCGGCUCACUGGGCUGCAACGGCGCUGAAGCUCCGAGCGU